rnacentral:tRNA from 1 species
ACUGCGGAUAUAGAUGAAUUGGUACAUCAGUAAUUUUCCACGUUAAAGGUUAUGGGUUCGAGUCCCAUUAUCC